rnacentral:rRNA from 1 species
UCCGGUUGAUCCUGCCGGAGGUUACUGCUAUCGAGGUUCGACUAAGCCAUGCGAGUCGAAUGUAGCAAUACAUGGCGUACUGCUCAGUAACACGUGGACAACCUACCCUUGAGACGGGGAUAAACCCGGGAAACUGGGUAUAAUACCCGAUAGAUCUCGACUGCUGGAAUGCAUCGAGCUCCAAAGCUCCGGCGCUCAAGGAUGGGUCUGCGGCCUAUCAGGUAGUAGUGGGUGUAGCGUACCUACUAGCCUACGACGGGUACGGGUUGUGAGAGCAAGAGCCCGGAGAUGGAUUCUGAGACACGAAUCCAGGCCCUACGGGGUGCAGCAGGCGCGAAAACUUUACAAUGCUGGAAACAGCGAUAAGGGGACCUCGAGUGCCAGGUUACAAAUCUGGCUGUCGUGAUGCCUAAAAAGCAUUGCAUAGCAAGGGCCGGGCAAGACCGGUGCCAGCCGCCGCGGUAACACCGGCGGCUCGAGUGGUAACCGUUAUUAUUGGGUCUAAAGGGUCUGUAGCCGGCCGGAUAAGUCUCUUGGGAAAUCUGGCAGCUUAACUGCCAGGCUUUCAGGAGAUACUGUCUGGCUCGAGGCCGGGAGAGGUGAGAGGUACUUCAGGGGUAGGGGUGAAAUCUUGUAAUCCUUGAAGGACCACCAGUGGCGAAGGCGUCUCACCAGAACGGACCUGACGGCAAGGGACGAAAGCUAGGGGCACGAACCGGAUUAGAUACCCGGGUAGUCCUAGCCGUAAACGAUACUCGCUAGGUGUCGGCCACGGUGCGACCGUUGUCGGUGCCGUAGGGAAGCCGUGAAGCGAGCCACCUGGGAAGUACGGCCGCAAGGCUGAAACUUAAAGGAAUUGGCGGGGGAGCACCACAACGGGUGGAGCUUGCGGUUUAAUUGGAUUCAACGCC